GAGCAUCGACCAGUUGCUGUCCAGGGUAAAGAUAAGGAAGCUGAGAUGUAGAGCUGAAGUGUCUUGCCCAAGAUCAUUUGUCUACCUAUGACCUGGCUCAACCCAGCUACAAGUUGUUAAUAAGAGGGAAGCAUAUCAGGAAAAUCUGAGUGCAAUGGUUUAGGAAUUGGGAAAGUAUAAAAGGUAUAGCACAACAGCACUAGACAACUGAGGUAGUCACCUACCUAAGGAGAGAUGCCAAGGACAAGUUGGCCAGCUAAACACUUUCUCCAGAAAUGGGAUUUAUAGUUUUGCUAAUUUCUUUAAUAUCAGAAGACAGCUGGAUUCUCAUUUCUGCUUCUGCAUUCAGUCUAUUGUGAUAUAGCAUAUCAUGUAACUUCUGAAAAACUUCACUGUACACAGAUGCUGACCUCACAGACUCCCUGAAAGGAUCUCCAUGACCUCUAUGGUUCCUUAGACUGCACUUUGAGAACUAUUGACGUACAGGGAAAAAUGCUCUUGGUGUUCCAGUUAAGCACAGAAUAAAAUCUGGACUGUGUCAGUUUGUAAAGAUCUUAUGUCUACUUGGUCAUCAGCCAAGAAGGGAUUCCGAAGAUAGAAGAGGAGGCAUCAACACCGUGAACAUCAUGGCUGAGUUAUUUUGUGAGAGGGAUAAGCCUAAAGUAAAAACCUUGGAUUUGCCUCUGUCCUUGAACAUGCUAUCUGGAAAGAGUUUUCUUAAAAGUAUUGUUGUGAACACAUCCAUUUUCCCAGUAUAGUUGAAUGCAGGGUUUAAUAAAUGGAAUGAAUC
ensembl:lncRNA novel transcript